GACGAACGCUGGCGGCGUGCUUAACACAUGCAAGUCGAACGAUGAAGCCUUCGGGUGGAUUAGUGGCGAACGGGUGAGUAACACGUGGGUGAUCUGCCCUGCACUUUGGGAUAAGCCUGGGAAACUGGGUCUAAUACCGAAUAGGACUCCGCGCUUCAUGGCGUGGGGUGGAAAGCUUUUGCGGUGUGGGAUGGGCCCGCGGCCUAUCAGCUUGUUGGUGGGGUAAUGGCCUACCAAGGCGACGACGGGUAGCCGGCCUGAGAGGGUGACCGGCCACACUGGGACUGAGAUACGGCCCAGACUCCUACGGGAGGCAGCAGUGGGGAAUAUUGCACAAUGGGCGCAAGCCUGAUGCAGCGACGCCGCGUGAGGGAUGACGGC
rnacentral:rRNA from 1 species